AUACGAAGGGAGCAAGCGUUAUUCGGAAUAACUGGGCGUAAAGGGUUUGUAGACGGUAAAUUUCUAUUAAAGGUGAAAUAUGUAAGCUUAACUUUCAUAAGCCUUUAUAUUUGAUUUACUUGAGUUAGAGAGAGGGUAGCAGUAAUUUUUCAAGUAGGGGUUAAAUCCAAAAAGAUGAAAAAGAAUACCAGAAGCGAAGGCGGUUAUCUGGCUCUAUACUGACGUUGAGGAACUAAAGCGUGGGGAGCAAACAGGAUUAGAUACCCUGGUAGUCACGCCCUAAAGAUGAGUGCUAUUGUUUAGAAAUUUAUUUUAGGCAAACAGACAAACGCUUUAAGCACUCCGCCUGGGGAGUACGGCCGCAAGGUUGGAACUCAAAGGAAUUGGCGGGGGCCUAUACAAGUGGUGGAGCAUGUUGUUUAAUGCGAAAAUACGC
rnacentral:rRNA from 1 species